rnacentral:rRNA from 1 species
AUGAAAGUGCUUAGAUCAGGUCAAGCAGAUCCAGACGGUCUUCGUGCUGGUGACCUUUAUGUAGCCAUUAAGGUUCGUGGGGAUCCAGUAUUCCGGAGAGAGAAAGGUGAUAUCCAUGUAGAUGCUGUCUUAAAUGUGACUCAGGCAAUUCUGGGAGGUACUGUUCAAGUGCCAACUCUCGCUGGAGAUGUUGUUCUAAAGGUUAAGCCUGGUACUCAACCUGGUCAGAAGGUUGUUCUGAGAGGAAAAGGAAUCAAGACAAGAAACUCAUAUUCUUAUGGAGACCAAUAUGUCCAUUUCAAUGUCAAAAUCCCCGUGAAUUUGACACAGAAACAGCGCAUGCUUCUCGAGGAGUUCGAGAAGGAAGAGAAGGGCGAGGACGACAAGGACGCGGAAAAGGCAGCUGGCGCAUCAGGAUAG